rnacentral:tRNA from 1 species
GGGAUGUAGCUCAAUGGUAGAGCACUUGCCCAGUGCCUGAGGUCCUGUGUUCAAUCCUCAGCAUUACCA